CCCUCUGGAUGAGCCUGAAUGGAAAACGUAAGCCAGACGUCUUUAUCCAGUACCAGGGCCCAACCCCACAAAUGUUUCACUUCAUGAAUGGGUAAAAUGCCCCACAGAAACAAGAGCCGAAGCUAACACAGCUGCAAAGGAAGAGACAACUCCACACCAAUAUCCAUGCACCCUACACUUUGCCUUCCAUCUGCUCAUCAACUGGACCAUAUAUCUACUCCAGUUCUUCAUCCACUCAUCAACAGAUCAUUGUUCUGACGACAGAGAUCACUACCCCCUGGUCCCCCCUGCCUAUCUGCUUUUCCCACUAUCUUACCAGAAACCCCAAGCUUAACCUCAGCCAGCCACAUUCACACCCUUGUCUGCCUGUCCUGCUCAACUCAGCUAUUGUCUCUCUACCUUUUGCCUUGCCUUCCAUCCUCAUAACUGUGAAAGUCAACAUAUUUUAAUCAUUAUUUUUCGACAACCUUUUCUGAAAAUGCAAUGAAUUCAACAUCAGAGAUGUUCUUCACUAAAAUGUGUGUUAAUAAAUAAUUUGAGAUGCAAUAAAAGUAUCUGUAAAAUCAGGCCUGGCACUAAUCCAGUUCCAUAUGGCUCCUACUUAGAUGAGGAAAUGAAGCUGUCCUGGGGCUUCACUGCUUUAAUGACAUUUCAAGCUUGUUUGGCAGGAGGAGCACUGUUUCCUCACAUGAGAAUAAUGAAAUGUAGACAAUGCAGAUGUCCAAGCUGAGUAUCUUGUUUAAAGAAGGAGCCUUGGCUUGGCAAUCUGAAUGCCAUUCACUUAUUCUAUUAGAUGUACUGUAAGCUACUGCAAUGUUCUUUCCUUUAUCUCCCCGAGUUAUGUUGCCAAUUACCUAAUUUUACAGAAACUAUUGUGAGUUAAUGUAUUCUUGAUGUUCUAUAUUCAUUAUAAAAAUGUAUUUUUCCUUCCUUCUGAUCUGUGAAUCUACUGAAGGUACUCCUCGUGAAUGUAUUAUAAGAGUUAAGUUUUUUUAUUAAUGGAUUAAAUAUGAAUGAAAUGAAAGCAAAUUCCUAUCAGUGAAGGAAACACGUGCUCAGUAAAACCUGGCACAA